rnacentral:rRNA from 1 species
GACGUAGGUGGCGAACGUUAUCCGGAAUUAUUGGGCGUAAAGGGUGCGUAGGCGGCAUGAUAAGUUAUUGGCGGCAAAUCGAGGCUCAACCUCGUGGAAACUGAUAAUACUGUCUUGCUUGAGUGCAGAAGAGGUUAACGGAACUCCAUGUGGAGCGGUAAAAUGUGUAGAUAUAUGGAAGAACAUCAAUAACGGCGAAGGCAGUUAACUAUUCUGUUACUGACGUUGAGGCACGAAAGCGA